AACGAACGCUGGCGGCAGGCCUAACACAUGCAAGUCGAGCGGACCCUUCGGGGUUAGCGGCGGACGGGUGAGUAGCGCGUGGGAAUAUGCCCUUCUCUACGGAAUAGUCCUGGGAAACUGGGGGUAAUACCGUAUACGCCCUUUGGGGGAAAGAUUUAUCGGGGAAGGAUUAGCCCGCGUUGGAUUAGGUAGUUGGUGGGGUAAUGGCCUACCAAGCCGACGAUCCAUAGCUGGUUUGAGAGGAUGAUCAGCCACACUGGGACUGAGACACGGCCCAGACUCCUACGGGAGGCAGCAGUGGAGAAUCUUAGACAAUGGGGGCAACCCUGAUCUAGCCAUGCCGCGUGAGUGAUGAAGGCCUUAGGGUUGUAAAGCUCUUUCAGCUGGGAAGAUAAUGACGGUACCAGCAGAAGAAGCCCCGGCUAACUCCGUG
rnacentral:rRNA from 1 species